CGGUGUUAAGAUCUCGCGUGUUUCAUCUUUUAUACUAACGCUACUAAAAUAUCGUUUAAUUAGUAUUACUGAUUGAUUUGUUAAGAGAAGAUUAUCGAGGGAAACUUCGAAAUUCAAAAGGGUCCUACCAGUGACCAAUGAUAAAUUCUACAGUUUCUCAUGGAGGUAAAAUAAUAUUUGAUUUAUUUUAACAAAGAAAGGGACGCUAUCAUGGAUAAAUUUGAAUGUUCUGCGCAUUACAUCGUUUGCGUAUUGCGCAGCUUUAUUUAACAGCCUAAAAAAGGGCGCGAUAUUUGAUUAAUAUUUGAUUAAUAUGAAAUGCUUAAC